CUUAUAUUUUAUGGUAGAACAAUAAAUAGAAUAGCCAAAUAUAUGUUUACUAAUUUACAUUUCACUUCAAUUAAUAUAAAUAAGAGGUAAUCAGAAAAAAGGAUGGAAAGUAACCCAUAUCAAAGCUCUAAUCCAAUGAUAAAAUGAAUUCAAAGUUAUUAUUGACAAAUGAACACAAUAAACACACAUACAACAACAUGAAAAAAUGAUUCACAAAAAGGAGAAAAAAGUAGCCCAAAUAUUUAAAAUUUACAAUACCUUCUCCUCUUCUUCAAAUGUCCAAUAAGAAUAUUGUAAGAUUUGAUUACUCACUUUAACCAAAUGAGCGUCCAAGGGAAUGAGUAUGUAGAUUGACGUUAUUAUUAUCUCUUUCAAUCCAUUUAGUUUCAUCAAAACCUCAUUAUGUGCCUGUUUGACACUUAGCCCUUGUUUGAACCACAUUAUGUUUCUUAUAAUGAAUUUUUGAAUAGUGUAUUAAUA
rnacentral:lncRNA from 1 species